rnacentral:rRNA from 1 species
UAGGGAAUCUUCUGCAAUGGACGAAAGUCUGACCGAGCAACGCCGCGUGAGUGAAGAAGGUUUUCGGAUCGUAAAACUCUGUUGUUAGAGAAGAACAAGGACGUGAGUAACUGAACGUCCCCUGACGGUAUCUAACCAGAAAGCCACGGCUAACUACGUGCCAGCAGCCGCGGUAAUACGUAGGUGGCAAGCGUUGUCCGGAUUUAUUGGGCGUAAAGCGAGCGCAGGCGGUUUCUUAAGUCUGAUGUGGAAGCCCCCGGCUCAACCGGGGAGGGUCAUUGGAAGCUGGGAGACUUGAGUGGAGAAGGGGAGAGUGGAAUUCCAUGUGUAGCGGUGAAAUGCGUAGAUAUAUGGAGAAACACCAGUGGCGAAGGCGGCUCUCUGGUCUGUAACUGACGCUGAGGCUCGAAAGCGUGGGGAGCAAACAGG